CCCGUUCCCAUCCCGAACACGGAAGUUAAGCUCUUCAGCGCCGAUGGUACUGCACGGGAGGCUGUGCGGGAGAGUAGGUGAAUGCCGGGG
rnacentral:rRNA from 1 species